rnacentral:lncRNA from 1 species
GUACAGUAAACCGUGACUUUCUCCUGUAGCUUCAUUGUGGAAACAUUUCUUCCUAGUGGCUUUCUGAAAAUUAACACAAGAUUUAUUUUUGUGAAAAAUAAGACAUAUGUAUUUUUAUUUUAUUAUUUGGCUUUUUGCCAUUUGUAUUUAUUUCAUUCAGUUUUGCUGAAAUUUUUCUCUUUUAUUGAUGGGAAGCUAAGUAAGGCAUCAGUUUGGUUUUCUAGAGUGGUCCUACAAGCUGGGAUGUAAUUUGGGAGGCCUCUUUGCCUUUGGGAGCGUGUGAAUACAUGUUUCUGUGAGGUCACCAGAAGCUCAAGAGGCCUAGGUCAAAGGGCCUCUCCUCUCUGAGGGAGCUACCAUCAAGCGCCACGAGAUGACAGGACAUCCUGGUGGCCAGGGUCAUCCACGGAGGGCUGCUAGAGGGGAGUGGUAAGCUGCAGCAGCGGGGUAUAGGUGUGACCAGAGAAACAAGAAAGCUUGGUUGUGGGGCCCCUUUCCUGAGGACCCUCUUUCCUGACUUGGGUUGGGGCUCUCCUAAGUUCUUCUUUUUGGUUAAAACAGUAAAGGGAGGAGGAACAAGUGCUGCAGGGAAAGGCUGUGAGAAGAGCAGGCUUGGGGCACUGGCAGGCCAGCUUGGGGCAGGGAAAGUCUGAAGGGUCCUUGAAGUAUCCCGCUAAGGUACGGCAGAGGCAGCUGGGCAGUGGAGACUGGAACUCAGGGAAGAGUUUCAGACUAGAGAUAAAGACUGCAGAAUCACUAUUAUCUGUGCUGUUAUCCUGUUUACACAGGGUGAACUGAGUAUAAAGGUCGGGGGACAAGAGAGAAAUGGACACACGCUAAAACUAUGUGAGAGUGUGGGGGGUGUUAACCCAGGGAGACAGCCAAACAGUUUUCUUCUUUACAUUAAAGCUGAACUUAAAAACUUAACAAGCAUAAUCGCCAAACUUCCACCACAGUGUUAUAGGUGACUUCAGCAAGCACUGCAGGUAAUGUGGUGUCCAUCGGAGCUCCACUGCUGUGUGGAGUAGAAUCACCCACCUCCCAGGAUAACUGCUGUGCACAGAGUGUGGUAGGAACUGGUUUCUUUUCUCUAAAUUCCUGGAGGCAGCCGUAGACCUGCAGCAGAAGAAGGGUGGGAGAACUGACGUUGGUAAUGUGCCUACUGACAUUCUGGAUUAAGGCUCCCAGAGGGAAGAGGCAGCCUGGGCAGCUGCCAACACUACAACAUGGCACUGUUGGCCUUUAGUACGGUGUGUGUCUUUAGAGGCUGAGGAGGAAUGAAUUCCAGUUUGGUCUUCAGAGACGGUCUCACUAUGUAGCCCAGGCUGGCAUCGAAAUCAGUGAUCCUCCUGCCUCAGCCUCCCAAAUGCUGGAAUUACAGCCAUGCACCACUACACCAAGCCUCAUAUUUCAGGAAUUAAGCCUCUUCCAGAUGAAGAAAUAAGGUCCAUGGGGCCAGCUCAGCCCAGCCUUUUCCAUCCAGUUCUGUGAUGCUGCUGCUUCCAGCUCUACUAGCCACCAGCACUCAAGUUUACCUGAAAGUGCUCAAGGCUCACAGGGCAACAGCAGCUGCCCACUGGCCACAAAGGGGUUGACACCCUUCCCAGUGGUAACAGAUGUGCAGUUCUCAGUUGGUGGCAGAGCAGCAAACUCUUGGACGAAGGCCCAUCUCUUCCUCCUGUCUUCUCAAAAAGACACGCAGACCUCUUAUCACCUUAUCUACAGCUCAAGGCCUUUCUGGUACACUGUCCUGCUGGAAGCACAACCAUAAACAUCAUCCUAAACAGUGCAAGUGCUCCAGAAGGCUUGCAGGCUGCUAAAGGAGAAAAGAAUUUCGUUAAUGCCUCCUGCUGCCCCAGACCCGCUGCCAGGCCCUAUAAGAACCCCAGUCUCAGCCUGACUGCACGGCCCCUUGGCAGUGCACCUGGCCCAAAUAUACUCUUGUCUUUGCUACAUUCCUUGUCUCUUGGUAAAUUCUUUUACCAGCCCUGCCUUACUGGCCCUCUCCCCUCUCAGGGCAGGCAAUACCCAUAACGAAAUUAAAGUCCCUGUCUUAGCUGAC